AUUGAACGCUGGCGGAAUGCUUUACACAUGCAAGUCGAACGGCAGCACGGGGGCAACCCUGGUGGCGAGUGGCGAACGGGUGAGUAAUACAUCGGAACGUGCCCAGUCGUGGGGGAUAACGUAGCGAAAGUUACGCUAAUACCGCAUACGAUCUACGGAUGAAAGCGGGGGACCGUAAGGCCUCGCGCGAUUGGAGCGGCCGAUGUCAGAUUAGGUAGUUGGUGAGGUAAAGGCUCACCAAGCCGACGAUCUGUAGCUGGUCUGAGAGGACGAACAGCCACACUGGGACUGAGACACGGCCCAGACUCCGACGGGAGGCAGCAGUGGGGAAGUUUGGACAAUGGGCGCAAGCCUGAUCCAGCCAUUCCGCGUGCAGGACGAAGGCCUUCGGGUUGUAAACUGCUUUUGUACGGAACGAAAAGGCUCUGGUUAAUACCUGGGGCUCAUGACGGUACCGUAAGAAUAAGCACCGGCUAACUACGUGCCAGCAGCCGCAGUAA
rnacentral:rRNA from 1 species